rnacentral:rRNA from 1 species
CGGCACGGGUGAGUAACACGUGAGUGACCUGCCUUUUAGACUGGAACAACUUACCGAAAGGUGAGCUAAUGCCGGAUGAGUUAUAUAAGUGCAUGUUUAUAUAGGAAAAGUUGGGGAGACCUGACGCUGAAAGAUGGACUCGCGUCCCAUUAGCUAGUUGGUAGGGUAAUGGCCUACCAAGGCGACGAUGGGUAGCCGGCCUGAGAGGGUGGCCGGCCACACUGGGACUGAGACACGGCCCAAACUCCUACGGGAGGCAGCAG